AGGAACAGCCUGAUAAAGAGCAGAGGUUGGACAAGAAAGGUGAUGCCGGUUUCUCAGACUGAAACACUUGUAGAAUAUGCAUAUUUAGCUCCGAUCAACAGAGUACAAGGGACCCAACCUCCUGAUCCAUGCAGCUCUGGAGACUACUCGAAAUCCAGAUCCUUUGCCCACAGAAUAAGUUAAGCUCAGCCGUAGGUUUUUUGGACCCAUGGUCUCACUAGAACUCCAUGUACAGUACCUCUUGUGCUUGAUGGAGAAAACCUUCUUCCAGUUCCAUGAAAAUGUCUGUCCCACCAACCCGCAGACAGAAGAAAAAGGGUGAUUAACUACAGAUUCAUUGAACGAAAUCUGCACAUCACAUGGAAAGUGGACCUCUGAAAAUGCAAGAAAAUAAAUCCAAAUACUUGUACAAUGCUUUGUGCUUGAUUGCUUUUAAUAUUGGAGUCUGAUGGGACAGGACUACUUAAGAGAAUAUAAAAAAGCUGGAUAUAUUGUUCAUUGGCUAAACUAAAAGCCAGAAAUGAAUGUAUGUAAAUAUAAUAUAAAUUCAGCCAUCUGUUUACAAUAUUAACAAAGAUUCUUUCAUUCACUGUCCCAUUGCAGAAAGCAGCACGGGCUUUAAUCAAAUGAAACAGCAUGACUUUUUAGCUUUGAUAUAAAUAUUUUCUUUCACAUGGAUCUGAACACUUGUCUCCUUGACCAGUUGACCAGACGCUCCUGCUUGCAUAUUUAUUUAUCAUACAAGUUAUAUCUUAGUUCACCUCUCUUUCUAAUCCUUUGUUCUUUUACUUUCCUUUCUCUUACACUUCCUGUACUACCCUUUCCUUUCCUGUUUGCUCCUCCUAACUUCCUUCAAUUCUUCAUUCCAGACCCAGUUGUUUUGUUUGUCCUAAUGCAGGCAAUGUUAUCCUCAGAUAUUAGCAAGAACUUUUCUAAAUUUCUCUCAGGAGUCCAUUCAUUGCUUUUUGAUUGCUCAUAAUAUUUAACUACUGUUCUGCAUAGAAUGCUUUGUGUAGUUUAAUAGUUUUCUUCUGCAACAAGUGUUUGCUGUCUGCCUGUUAUUAUUUGAUGAUAUUUUUGUUAUAUAAGAACUUCCGAAUAAACAAAAAAUGAAUGGCACCUUUGAAAA